AAAGUUCAUCUUGUCGAUGACAAGGAUCACUUCUCAGCAUCAGCAUCUAAUUAAUGUGAUACACUGGUUUUAACUUGCGACAUUAAAAUAUAUAUUCUCAAACGUGGUUCACGAAAAGUUCAUCUUUGUUUAUUUAAAUAGUAUUGCUUUAGUUAUUGUUCCUGACCACAAUCUAAUUUAGUGAUUCACAUUACCCUAAAUAGAAGGAAGCAUAAUAUAACAAAGAUAUGUCUGAAUCCAGUGAAACCAUCUCACCAUCAGCUACAGAUUGCAAUAGGUUGGGUAUCCAAGUAGAAGAAGCUGAGCAUGCACAAUUUCGAGAUCUUUUUUCUUUGGGGCCAAAGGACAGAGCCUAUAUACGCAAGGCAGUGACCUCAGGGAAUUGGAUUGAGGCUUCAUCUUAUGAUCCAACUUAUUGGGUACAUACUCCCUUGACCAUGAAUGGGGACAUACCUCUUCACAUUGCUGUGAGCAUGCAACACAGCAGUUUUGUUGAAAAGUUGGUGCAACUUAUGAGCAUGCAAGACAUGGAAAUUGUCAAUGCAGAUGGGAACACUGCCUUUUCUAUGGCUGUCAUUUCAGGAAACAUGGAAAUCACUACAAUUCUACUUAACAAGAACCCGGGAUUGGUUCGAAUUCGAGGCCAAAAGGAUCACAUGUUGCCAAUUCAAUUGGCAUGUAAAGCAAGUCACCCUCAUAUCGUUGAAUUUUUAUGUGCAAGAAUUUCAAUGGAUACUCUACCCUCUCAUCAAGACAUUGUUUUGCUGUUUUUCUUGGCACUGAACGGAAACAUUUACACUGUGGCAUUGAAAUUGUUAGAGACAUACAGGGAACUUACUACUACUACAAACGAGAAGGGACUAACUGCAUUAGAAGUGUUAGCUCAAACAUCUAUUGAUCAGAAGGAUAGCCCUGCUGGUUACCAAGAAAUUCUGAAUUUGCUGUUUAAGUUUAUGGAAGAAGACUUUUCAAACUCUGAAGGAACUUCAAAAGCAAUGUUUGAUGCAGCAAAAUCAGGAAACAUAUUAAUUUUAAAGCUUAUUUUGGAGUACAAUCCAAAUUUGUUGACAAAAAUUAACGGUGAUGGACAAAGCUUGCUUCACGUUGCAAUUUUAUAUCGACAAGCAGCUAUAUAUCGAAUAAUAAGAAGCAAUGGUGCAUACAAAGUUGCUAAUAUGCUACAAGUUGACAAAGAAGGAAACAAUGUUCUUCACAUGGCUGCCAAAUUGGUACCUCGAGUCAAAUUUGGAUCAUUGAUAAAUCAAGCUUCUAUUCUUAGUGAAGAGCUCUGGUUUGAGGAAGUGGAGACGAGAGUUCCAGCAUCAUUGAAGACCAUGCAAAACGGAGAAGGAGAAACGCCACAAGAAUUAUUCCAUAAAGAACACCACACAUUAUGUGAAAGAGCUAUAUCUGAACUGAAUGGAAUGGCAAGUAAUUUUCUGAUUGUGGCAACUCUUAUGACAACUUUAGGAAUAACAGCAGGUCUCAGUGUUCCUGCUGCCAUUGAGAUUGAAGAAGGGAGUAUUCAUAAGAGGAUAUGGUACCAUACUUUUCUGCUAUCAAUUUCUAUUGGAAUAUGCUUGUCCAAUGUUGGAAUAGUUUUCUUCAUUUCAGCCAUACUACGUUCAAUAUGGAAGCAAAAAAGUGGUUACAUAAGCUCAAGGCUAACAAGGAUUACAAUUGGGCAUGUGCUGCUUUGUUUCGCUUUGGGAAUAAUGAGUACAUUUUCCUGUGUAUCUGCUGCUCUUUUAUUCUAUGGUUCAUCCCCAAAAUGGAUAAUCUAUUUUGUUGCUGCACUUGCUGUUCUUCCAGUGAUCUUAUCUUAUGUAAUUUAUAGUUUUAGUUGGCCUCUCUUAGGGCACUUAGUACUUGCAUUUUGUGAGAUACCUGCACUCAGGUUACUCUCAGUAUUUGGGAUUAAGUGGUCUCCUUUCUACGAUGGUUUGUGGUUCAUAUAAAACUUAGGAGUGACUUAGCUUGAUGUCAUAAAGAUUGAUUUACUUUCUUGUUUGAGUGGAACAAAUAAGGCUUUGUUUAUGAUGACCAUACAAAAUUCAAGGCUUUUGUGAAAAAAAUGUAAGAAAUUGAAGGCCAAGUUAACACUUGUUUGCCGUUUUGCAAGCAUGUAUCUUUUCCU